UUCAGUUGUAGACCACAGUUUGGAAUAUUCUUACACACACUGUUUGAAGAGGAGCUUAGACAUUGAUAACUUGUCUGUCUUUUCCCCUCCAGUGCUUCCAGCUGGUCUAAUAAAAGGGAAAACCUCACCCUGUGGAUUUUGCUUUGCUGCUGAAUGCGAGGAUGAAAUACGUCAAGUGAAUAAUACUUAUUUUCCAAAGCUGUAAGGGACUGAAAGGGGUAAGGACGGGAUCUCACUGUGGUAACAUUGGGAUUACAGACUUGGAUAUAACAUUACCUUUUCCCUGGGUCUGUCUAGGGCUCUGACUCAAACCUGCUGGUUCAAGGGCUUCAGAGACAGAGCCCAGGAGGGGCCCUGGACACUGAGGUCCUGCCUGCUGGCUCCUGCUCACGUCACCGAGGCACAUCCUCCCACAUCAGUCCCAUCAGCUGUGCCAGUGUCACCGGCAGCAGAGCUGCACAGCAGUGCCUGAGCUGAGCCACCUAAUUGAAAGGCCUUUUCAUGGAGUGCAGUGACCUGCCCUGGAGGGCUCUCCCUGGCCUGUGGUUUCAUGCUCUGCAGUCUCAUCCAAGACAACUGCAUUUGGGAUUUCUCUUCCAGCCUAUUUCCUACCGAGUAAUUUGGACCUGAUCCUGCAUCCUUAAUCCUGAAGCUCCACCACAUGUGCUGGAGGGAUUCUAGGGACAAGGCUGUUCUUACAGGAGUGGAGGCACCAGAGCUGCAGGGGAGAGGCUGCCUGGAAAGUCAAAACAGGGCAGAAAGCAUCAGCUGUUCCAGGAAAUAACCUGUCUUUGCACAUUUCCUCAUGUUCAGGCUUCACUAUUAUGAAUGCAAGCACUGUGAUGAGAGAAGAGGAAAAUAAAACCAUCCUCCAUUUUGCUGAGUGCCAGCAGUGUGAACAAAAAUAUAAGGUGCUUCAGGGCAGGAAGAAACUGUGAAGAAAUAGGUUUUUGAAUUCCAUUUGUCUCGGAUUGUCUGAAAAUUGUCUCAAGAGCUGCCUUCUGGAGACAGCUGCCCUGCUCUGAGAGAGGGCAGAGACGUGUGUGGGGGUCUCAGACUGGGACAGGACUCAGGGUGCAGCUGCCUCUG
rnacentral:lncRNA from 1 species